UCUCUCUGUCUUCCAUCCUCCGGCACGAACCGAAAACCGCAGUUUUUGUGCUUGUCCAUCCUGCACGAGCAGAGCACUAGGUCCGGCCAGAUCUGGUCCUUUUACUCACUGCAAACAGGUACAGAUCUUAGCCAAAAUCACACCACAAUGGCAUUUCACCAAAACAACCCUCUGCCCUCGAUUCUAUUCCCUUCCUUUCCUUUCCCUCCCUCCCUCCCUCCCUCCUAGGUUUUGCGAUUUCUGCUGUUUUAGAGAUGGAUACUGCAAAUAAGUUUUGAACUCGAGAAUGUCUGUGCUGGAGCCUUGGAAGUACUUGUAUGCGUUUUGUUCUUAAUAUGGUGAAUUUGCUCGUGGUUGGAGAUUUUUGGGCUUUUUAUGCAUGGAUAUAGGCGAUCUCCAAUCUUUAAAUGGGCUUUUUACUGGUAAAUUUUUUCCGAUUUUGGAAAAUUUUCAUAUGCUUUUUGUUUGUUAUCCAAUCUCCUGGUUUGAGACACUUGUGGAUUUGCUUCUGGUUUCAUAGCUAAAAUCUCUCUCUCUCUCUCUCUCUCUCUCUCUCUCUCUCUCUUGUUUGCAUUAUACAGAUGAUUUGCUGGAGAUAUUUAUUUUGCUGUCUAAUGCAAGUGCUCAGAUCCUAUCCUCUGUUUGAAGAGUUAUGUCCGAGGACUUGGUGUUGCUUUUCCAAUCGAUGCUCAUGCUUGGAAUUAUAUUGGACUUGCUUUCAAUGUGGUUUUGCUUUCAACUGAUAAAAGAUCAAGACUUCCAUGUACAGCUUGUGGAAUUAGUAUUGGACUUGCUUUCAAUGUGGACUUGCUACUAAUAUUUAUGGAUUCUACAGUUUGUA